GCAAGUUGAGCGCUGAAGGUUGGUACUUGUACCGACUGGAUGAGCAGCCAUUUGGUGAGUAACGCGUGGGGAAUCUGCCUUUGAGCGGGGGAUAACAUUUGGAAACGAAUGCUAAUACCGCAUAAAAACUUUAAACACAAGUUUUAAGUUUGAAAGAUGCAAUUGCAUCACUCAAAGAUGAUCCCGCGUUGUAUUAGCUAGUUGGUGAGGUAAAGGCUCACCAAGGCGAUGAUACAUAGCCGACCUGAGAGGGUGAUCGGCCACAUUGGGACUGAGACACGGCCCAAACUCCUACGGGAGGCAGCAGUAGGGAAUCUUCGGCAAUGGACGAAAGUCUGACCGAGCAACGCCGCGUGAGUGAAGAAGGUUUUCGGAUCGUAAAACUCUGUUGGUAGAGAAGAACGUUGGUGAGAGUGGAAAGCUCAUCAAGUGACGGUAACUACCCAGAAAGGGACGGCUAACUACGUGCCAGCAGCCGCGGUAAUACGUAGGUCCCGAGCGUUGUCCGGAUUUAUUGGGCGUAAAGCGAGCGCAGGUGGUUUAUUAAGUCUGGUGUAAAAGGCAGUGGCUCAACCAUUGUAUGCAAUGGAAACUGGUAGACUUGAGUGCAGGAGAGGAGAGUGGAAUUCCAUGUGUAGCGGUGAAAUGCGUAGAUAUAUGG
rnacentral:rRNA from 1 species